rnacentral:rRNA from 1 species
UGGGGAAUAUUGGACAAUGGGCGCAAGCCUGAUCCAGCCAUGCCGCGUGAGUGAUGAAGGUCUUAGGAUUGUAAAGCUCUUUCACCGGUGAAGAUAAUGACGGUAACCGGAGAAGAAGCCCCGGCUAACUUCGUGCCAGCAGCCGCGGUAAUACGAAGGGGGCUAGCGUUGUUCGGAAUUACUGGGCGUAAAGCGCAUGCAGGCGGAUAUUUAAGUCAGGGGUGAAAUCCCGCAGCUCAACUGCGGAACUGCCUUUGAUACUGGGUAUCUUGAGUAUGGAAGAGGUGAGUGGAAUUCCGAGUGUAGAGGUGAAAUUCGUAGAUAUUCGGAGGAACACCAGUGGCGAAGGCGGCUCACUGGUCCAUUACUGACGCUGGGGUGCGAAAGCGUGGGGAGCGAAACAGGAUUAGAUACCCUGGUAGUCCACGCCGUAAACGAUGGAUGUUAGCCGUCGGGCAGUAUACUGUUCGGUGGCGCAGCUAACGCAUUAAACAUUCCGCCUGGGGGAGUACGGUCGCAAGAUUAAAACUUAAAGGAAUUGACGGGGUCAUAGCUGUUUCCU